rnacentral:rRNA from 1 species
UACGUAGGGUGCAAGCGUUGUCCGGAAUUAUUGGGCGUAAAGGGCUCGUAGGCGGUCCGUCACGUCGGGAGUGAAAUCCUGGGGCUUAACCCCAGAACUGCUUCCGAUACGGGCAGACUAGAGGUAGGUAGGGGAGAAUGGAAUUCCUGGUGUAGCGGUGGAAUGCGCAGAUAUCAGGAGGAACACCGGUGGCGAAGGCGGUUCUCUGGGCCUUACCUGACGCUGAGGAGCGAAAGCGUGGGGAGCAAACAGG